UGGCUCAGGNCGAACGCUGGCGGCGUGCCUAAUACAUGCAAGUCGAGCGGAAUGAUGAAGAAGCUUGCUUCUUCUGAUUUUAGCGGCGGACGGGUGAGUAACACGUGGGCAACCUACCUUGUAGAUUGGGAUAACUCCGGGAAACCGGGGCUAAUACCGAAUAAUCCAUUUUGCUUCAUGGCGAAAUGUUGAGAGGCGGCUUCGGCUGUCACUACGAGAUGGGCCCGCGGCGUAUUAGCUAGUUGGUAGGGUAAUGGCCUACCAAGGCGACGAUACGUAGCCGACCUGAGAGGGUGAUCGGCCACACUGGGACUGAGACACGGCCCAGACUCCUACGGGAGGCAGCGGUAGGGAAUCUUCCGCAAUGGACGAAAGUCUGACGGAGCAACGCCGCGUGAGUGAUGAAGGCUUUCGUGUCGUAAAACUCUGUUGUUAGGGAAGAACAAGUACGAGAGUAACUGCUCGUACCUUGACGGUACCUAACCAGAAAGCCACGGCUAACUACGUGCCAGCAGCCGCGGUAAUACGUAGGUGGCAAGCGUUAUCCGGAAUUAUUGGGGCGUAAAGCGCGCGCAGGCGGUUUCUUAAGUCUGAUGUGAG
rnacentral:rRNA from 1 species